AAUAAUGGGAGCAGGCAGGUAGCUAAAAAAAACAGAGCAAUAGUAAAAGGAUAAGUAAAUGAAUGAACAGAAUUCUACAUUCAUUUACUUAUCCUUUUACUAUUGCUCUGUUUUUUUUAGCUACCUGCCUGCUCCCAUUAUUC